rnacentral:rRNA from 1 species
GAUGAACGCUGGCGGCGUGCCUAAUACAUGCAAGUCGAGCGAACAGAUGAGGAGCUUGCUCCUCUGACGUUAGCGGCGGACGGGUGAGUAACACGUGGAUAACCUACCUAUAAGACUGGGAUAACUUCGGGAAACCGGAGCUAAUACCGGAUAAUAUAUUGAACCGCAUGGUUCAAUAGUGAAAGACGGUUUUGCUGUCACUUAUAGAUGGAUCCGCGCCGCAUUAGCUAGUUGGUAAGGUAACGGCUUACCAAGGCGACGAUGCGUAGCCGACCUGAGAGGGUGAUCGGCCACACUGGAACUGAGACACGGUCCAGACUCCUACGGGAGGCAGCAGUAGGGGAUCUUCCGCAAUGGGCGAAAGCCUGACGGAGCAACGCCGCGUGAGUGAUGAAGGUCUUCGGAUCGUAAAACUCUGUUAUUAGGGAAGAACAAAUGUGUAAGUAACUAUGCACGUCUUGACGGUACCUAAUCAGAAAGCCACGGCUAACUACGUG